rnacentral:rRNA from 1 species
AAUAGAUACCCGGGUAGUCCACGCCGUAAACGAUGAGUGCUAAGUGUUAGAGGGUUUCCGCCCUUUAGUGCUGCAGCUAACGCAUUAAAGCACUCCGCCUGGGGGAGUACGGUCGCAAGACUGAAAACUCAAAGGAAUUGACGGGGGGCCCGCACAAGGCGGUGGAGCAUGUGGUUUAAUUCGAAGCAACGCGAAGAACCUUACCAGGUCUUGACAUCCUCGGACAACUCUAGAGAUAGAGCGUUCCCCUUCGGGGGACAGAGUGACAGGUGGUGCAUGGUUGUCGUCAGCUCGUGUCGUGAGAUGUUGGGUUAAGUCCCGCAACGAGCGCAACCCUUGAUCUUAGUUGCCAGCAUUUAGUUGGGGCACUCUAAGGUGACUGCCGGUGACAAACCGGAGGAAGGUGGGGAUGACGUCAAAUCAUCAUGCCCCUUAUGACCUGGGCUACACACGUGCUACAAUGGAUGGUACAAAGGGCUGCAAGACCGCGAGGUCAAGCCAAUCCCAUAAAACCAUUCUCAGUUCGGA